AAACUUAAAGGAAUUGACGGGGCCCGCACAAGCAGUGGAGUAUGUGGUUUAAUUCGAAGCAACGCGAAGAACCUUACCAGGGCUUGACAUCCCUUGAAGCAGCUAGAGAUAGCUGUGUCCUUUCGGGACAAGGAGACAGGUGGUGCAUGGUUGUCGUCAGCUCGUGUCGUGAGAUGUUGGGUUAAGUCCCGCAACGAGCGUAACCCCUGUGGUUAGUUGCCAGCAAGUAGCGUUGGGCACUCUAGCCAGACUGCCGGUGAUAAAUCGGAGGAAGGUGGGGACGACGUCAAAUCAUCAUGCCCUUUAUGUCCUGGGCUACACACGUACUACAAUGGCCGUUACAACGGGAAGCGAAGGAGCAAUCCGGAGCAAAUCCCUUAAAGGCGGUCCCAGUUCAGAUUGUGGGCUGAAACUCGCCCACAUGAAGGCGGAAUUGCUAGUAAUUGCAGAUCAGCACGCCGCGGUGAAUACGUUCCCGGGCCUU
rnacentral:rRNA from 1 species